rnacentral:misc_RNA from 1 species
ACUGGAAAUUCUGGAAAUCAUAUGUACGAACAUCUGCAGCCAGAUCUAUAACAAUACGCAUGCUUGGGAGACUUGCUGCUUUGCGGGAGCUUUUCAGUGCAAAAAUAGGAAAUUACUUGCCCUCUGAUGUCUCAGGGGAGCUGAUCAAAAGCAAAAGAUUGUGUCAAGUUGAAGAAGAAAUUAAACUUGAGGUGCAAACCCGGUUGGAAAAUGGAAAGAGUGUGGCGGAUCUGGAGGAAGAAGUAGUUAAAACACCUUCAAGCUUGAUGGGUUUAAAUGAUGCGGCAGAUGAGUUCUUUGAUGUCUCUGAGCCACUGGAUUAUGACCAAACAGAAAAUGACUGGUCUUCUGAUUUUGGACUAGAGACAUACUCUCAGGAUGCACGUCAUCCCAAAUUGUCAACUGCUGCAGUUAUCGUGAAGAGACUGCAUGAUCUUGCAGUUCAGAAGAAGGGUUAUGUAGAUCUGCAUGAAAUGGUAAAGGAAGAUGCAUCAUUUUGCCACUACGGAUCCACUCUACCAAAAGAUUCAACUUGUAAUUUGCCUUGCAGUUGGACUGAAACAGAUCCUUCUACUUUUCUUAUUCGUGGAGAGACCUACCUAGAUGAUCGUAAGAAGAUCAAGGCUAAAGGCACCUUGAUGCAAAUGGUGGGCGCGGAUUGGUUGAAGUCUGACAAACGAGAAGAUGAUCUUGGUGGUCGACCUGGGGGAAUUGUUCAGAAAUAUGCAGCAAAGGGGGGUCCAGAAUUCUUCUUCAUUGUGAACAUUCAGGUCCCAGGUUUAACAACAUAUACUCUCGCUCUCUACUAUAUGAUGGAUACCCCUUUAGAGGAUUCACCUUUGCUGGAGAGUUUUGUCAAAGGAGAUGAUGCUUAUAGAAACUCAAGGUUCAAGCUCAUACCAUACAUAUCCAAGGGAUCAUGGAUAGUCAAGCAGAGUGUUGGGAAGAAAGCUUGUCUUAUUGGUCAAGCGCUAGAAAUUAAUUAUUUUCGUGGAAAGAACUACAUAGAGCUUGGUAUCGAUAUUGGCUCAUCUACUGUGGCAAGGGGUGUUGUCAGCCUUGUUGUUGGUUACCUAAACAAUCUAGUCAUUGAGAUGGCCUUUCUUGUCCAGGCCAACACACCCGAAGAACUCCCUGAAUAUCUUCUAGGUACCUGCCGUCUUAACCACCUGGACGUUUCUAAAGCCGUACAAGUGAAGCCUUGAUCUUUGUAUAAUCUCAGUUUAUUUUCUAAACAUUCUAGUGUAUUUUAGGUUAGUCCAUAUGCUUACAGGAAUGUAGGGUUAUUUGCACAGGAAACAUGAAACAUUAAACUGCAAAAACUUUUGUAAAGUGACUAGUGAAUGUCCAAUUCUUUGAUUCAAUCAA